UACGAAGGGGGCGAGCGUUGUUCGGAUUUACUGGGCGUAAAGGGCGCGCAGGCGGUCUUGUUUGUCGAGUGUGAAAGCCCCGGGCUCAACCUGGGAACGGCGCUCGAAACGGCGGGACUAGAGAUCGGGAGAGGAGCGUGGAAUUCCCAGUGUAGAGGUGAAAUUCGUAGAUAUUGGGAAGAACACCUGUGGCGAAAGCGGCUCUCUGGACCACAACUGACGCUGAGGCGCGAAAGCUAGGGGAGCAAACAGG
rnacentral:rRNA from 1 species